GUAUGGACUCUGGCCUGGAGAGAUGGCUC
rnacentral:piRNA from 1 species